AGGACGAACGCUGGCGGCGUGCUUAACACAUGCAAGUCGCGGGGGGUGAGCAAUCACUCACCGGCGAACGGGUGCGUAACACGUGAGCGACCUGCCCACUUGUGGGGUAUAGCCGGCCCAACGGCCGGGUAAUCCCGCAUACGCUUCUCUGGCUGCAUGGCCGGGGGAGGAAAGCCGUAAGGCGCAAGUGGAGGGGCUCGCGGCCUAUCAGCUAGUUGGCGGGGUAACGGCCCACCAAGGCGAUGACGGGUAGC
rnacentral:rRNA from 1 species